rnacentral:miRNA from 1 species
UUUCAAAUGUUCCCUCUGGUGUU